CGAUGAGCCCAGCUUGCUGGGUGGAUUAGUGGCGAACGGGUGAGUAACACGUGAGUAACCUGCCCUUAACUCUGGGAUAAGCCUGGGAAACUGGGUCUAAUACCGGAUAGGAGCGCCUACCGCAUGGUGGGUGUUGGAAAGAUUUAUCGGUUUUGGAUGGACUCGCGGCCUAUCAGCUUGUUGGUGAGGUAAUGGCUCACCAAGGCGACAACGGGUAGCCGGCCUGAGAGGGUGACCGGCCACACUGGGACUGAGACACGGCCCACACUCCUACGGGAGGCAGCAGUGGGGAAUAUUGCACAAUGGGCGCACGCCUGAUGCAGCGACGCCCGUGAGGGAUGACGGCCUUCGGGUUGUAAACCUCUUUCAGUAGGGAAGAAGCGAAAGUGACGGUACCUGCAGAAGAAGCACCGGCUAACUACGUGCCAGCAGCCGCGGUAAUACGUAGGGUGCGAGCGUUAUC
rnacentral:rRNA from 1 species